CGUAGUGUAGUUGUCACAACUGUAGGAAGGUUUGCGUUCGGAUAUUUCUGUAUGUAAUAUCUGUCCUCAGGGAGUGUUCUGCGAUUACUCUGGUUUCCUCCCUUUUCCACGUAGUGUUAAAACAUAACCACUUUUCAGUUAAAUCAGCCAACAAACCAGUGAAGAACAGUGUAGUUGGAGAUUUUUCAGUGUUAUAACCUGGCUGAAAAAUAUAUUUGCGUCAAACUCAGAUACGUGCUGCGCCCAACGUUUAGACGACAAGAUAAAUGUAACCUGCACCUUCGACGAGACCAACUCUGAUGGCUCAACUGCUCGGAAAACCCCUUUAAUUGAGGUCACCUUCAUUAACAAAAAGACAGUUUCUGUGAUAUGUCCACUUAAUUUCCAAAAUUACAUAAAUGGAGUAGGGAGCUGCAGCUGUACCAGACCAUCCUCAUCAUCGGCUUUCCGCUGCACUGCAUUGCUUGCGAGCAACAAAAAAGAUGUCCGAAAAGUAGUUUGGAAAAGUGUUAGUGGGCAGGAGAUGGAUGUCUCAAAACUAUACCAGACCUGUAACACUGCAUCAUUGAAUAAUAACCGCUCUAUUUCCAAUGCUCCUUAUGGACCCGCUGUGGUAUUCCUAGUCAUUGUAGCUGUGUUGGCUGUAUGGUGCUAACCAAGACAUUUGGUGCUUAAUCCAUGAAAGUAAAUGCUCGACAAAGCAACGACUGACUGGCAGCCAAGAACUGUGUCAACUUCAUUAGAUACUUUUUCUCAUUAAUUUGUAUUUAAAUGCAUUUAAGAGAGGUUAAGAUCCAUGUCAAAACAUCAGCAGUUUCAAAGAUUUAAAAUCACUAAACCGUCCUGUCAAACCAGUCAAUCAUUGAUCACUUUUGAUACAGUUUACAGAUUAUAAAAAUCAGUUCACUUCCUUUAUAAUGUGAUGGGUGCUACCUCAUUUGUGCCACGCUUGUUAUAAGUAUUACAAUAGCAUUCGAACAGCUAUGCUUUGAUCUUAGGAGGACAUUGUCAAGCACUCAGGAUAUUAUUGCAGCUUCAUCAGCAAGAGUUCAAACAUUGUGUGAAUCAAAAUAUAGAAUGUAAGAAAGGUAUCUUGCUAUAUAGGGCUUUAGAGUACAUAGUAAAAGAUAGGGAUAUAGAGAGUUAAAUAAAACAAUUUCACUA